UACGAAGGGUGCAAACGUUGCUCGGAAUCAUUGGGCGUAAAGCGCACGUAGGCGGCCCUUCAAGUCGGAUGUGAAAGCCCUCGGCUCAACCAAGGAAGUGCAUCCGAAACUGAAGGACUUGAGUACCAAAGAGGAUCGCGGAAUUCCCGGUGUAGAGGUGAAAUUCGUAGAUAUCGGGAGGAACACCAGUGGCGAAGGCGGCGAUCUGGGUGGAUACUGACGCUGAGGUGCGAAAGCGUGGGGAGCAAAC
rnacentral:rRNA from 1 species